UACAGAGGUCUCAAGCGUUGUUCGGAUUCAUUGGGCGUAAAGGGCGCGUAGGCGGCGGGGUCAGUCGGGUGUGAAAUCUUGGGGCUUAACCCCGAAACGGCACUCGAAACUGCCCGGCUGGAGGGCCGGAGAGGAGAUCGGAAGUCACGGUGUAGCAGUGAAAUGCGUAGAGAUCGUGAGGAAGACCCGUGGCGAAGGCGGAUCUCUGGACGGCUAAAACUGACGCUGAGGCGCGAAGGCCAGGGGAGCAAACAGG
rnacentral:rRNA from 1 species